rnacentral:rRNA from 1 species
AACGAACGCUGGCGGCAGGCCUAACACAUGCAAGUCGAGCGAGAACGCUUCUUCGGAAGUUAUUAAAGCGGCAGACGGGUGCGUAACACGUGGGAAUCUACCUGAUAGUACGGAAUAGCCCUUGGAAACGAGGAUUAAUACCGUAUGUGCUCUACGGAGUAAAGAUUUAUCGCUAUCAGAUGAGCCCGCGCUAGAUUAGUUUGUUGGUGGGGUAAGAGCCUACCAAGACUACGAUCUAUAGCUGUUCUUAGAGGAAGAUCAGCCACACUGGAACUGAGACACGGUCCAGACUCCUACGGGAGGCAGCAGUGGGGAAUAUUGGACAAUGGGCGCAAGCCUGAUCCAGCCAUGCCGCGUGAGUGAUGACGGCCUUCGGGUUGUAAAGCUCUUUUAGCAGGGAGGAAAAUGACGUUACCUGCAGAAAAAGCUCCGGCUAACUUCG